CUUACACUGCACAGCCAAAGAAAACCAAUUCUCUCUUCACUACGUUCUGGUUGAACAAUUCCGAAGUAGCAGAAGUGGACACACUCUGCUAUUGUUCUCCACUGCUGCAGGAGCCAGAAUCUCUCCUCAUCCGCUGGAGGCAGAGCUGGGCAAACAACAAUUUGCACACUGCAUGGAAAGUGAUGCCAGGAACAUAGCAGAGGAAGAUGUCCUCAGGGUUUUCAAUUUGUAUGGGCUGUUAGCGGUUGAGACAACUGAGAAUUUUCUAUAGAAAUAGCUAUUUGUUGGGUUGGUUUUCUUUUUUUGUUUGUUUGUUUUUGGAAAAUGCUGAUUUAUUGAAUCAGGGAGGGUAUGAGGAGCACUGCUGAAGGCCAGAGUUUGGGCUGGAAACGCACAGAGGUUCUGCUUUGGGAACUGCUGCUGAUGUCCACCCCAUGCAGAUGAGCGAUGACUUCUGGCCUCCCCCAGCGAGCGCCCUGGGACCAUUUCUGCAGCGCAGACUGGAGCUCAGUUUACCAGGAAAUCCACGUUUGCAAUUUCUUCUCUCAGGUGGAUGGCCAGGGAGAGUCGCUGCUUCCUUGAACAGAGUUCGGAACAGGAAAUUGAGAAAAAGAAACCAACACAGCACACAGCUUGUCCAAGAGAAGGAGCUGACUGCUGGCUUUGCAGGCACUAUUUUUACGCCCAAAGGGUAUUUCCAAGCUCCCAAGGGCUUAGUAAUAGAACAGAUCCCAGGGGGAUGUUGGGGAAGGGCUCUGCUGAUGAAAAGAGGUUUCUUCCUGUUUGCUCCCUGCUGGUGGGACGUCUGCCAAGCACAGUCAAUGCUGAGGAACACCUGCAUCCAUCUAAUAACGUGGGCUGAGGAAAAAUCAUGAGAUAAUCGAUAGGAAACCAGCCAAAGCCGGGGCAGCACAGCUCCUCUGUGGGUCUCCCAGACCUGCAGCUGGACACGGCUCCCUGAGGUUGGGCACUCUGUACCAAGGGAGCACCUCCAUGCUUUGCCCACAGUCUCUCUGAUGUUGGCGGGGUGCAGAAAAUGACAUGCGAGGAGGAGCUGUGCCUUCCAUCUUCCUUGGCAAACUUUACAUCUCCUGAUUGUCUUCAACAAAUGUACAGUUUUCAUUUAUGAAAAGUUGG
rnacentral:lncRNA from 1 species